CUGAGUACGGCGGAACACGUGAAAUUCCGUCGGAAUCCGGGAGGACCAUCUCCCAAGGCUAAAUACUCCCUAGUGACCGAUAGUGAACCAGUACCGUGAGGGAAAGGUGAAAAGCACCCCGGAAGGGGAGUGAAACAGUUCCUGAAACCGUGUGCCUACAAGUAGUUAGAGCCCGUUAAUGGGUGAUAGCGUGCCUUUUGUAGAAUGAACCGGCGAGUUACGAUUUGUUGCAAGGUUAAGCGGAAAAAGCGGAGCCGUAGCGAAAGCGAGUCUGAAUAGGGCGCAUAAGUAACAGGUCGUAGACCCGAAACCAGGUGAUCUACCCAUGUCCAGGAUGAAGGUAAGGUAAUACUUACUGGAGGUCCGAACCCACGCACGUUGAAAAGUGCGGGGAUGAGGUGUGGGUAGCGGAGAAAUUCCAAUCGAACUUGGAGAUAGCUGGUUCUCUCCGAAAUAGCUUUAGGGCUAGCCUCGAGGUAAAGAGUCAUGGAGGUAGAGCACUGUUUGGACUAGGGGCCCUUCUCGGGUUACCGAAUUCAGAUAAACUCCGAAUGCCAUGUACUUAUACUCGGGAGUCAGACUGCGAGUGAUAAGAUCCGUAGUCGAAAGGGAAACAGCCCAGACCACCAGUUAAGGUCCCCAAAUAUAUGUUAAGUGGAAAAGGAUGUGGGGUUGCUUAGACAACCAGGAUGUUGGCUUAGAAGCAGCCACCAUUGAAAGAGUGCGUAAUAGCUCACUGGUCGAGUGACCCCGCGCCGAAAAUGUACCGGGGCUAAACAUAUUACCGAAACUGUGGAUGAACCUCUUUAGAGGUUCGUGGUAGGAGAGCGUUCUAAGGGCGGUGAAGUCAGACCGGAAGGACUGGUGGAGCGCUUAGAAGUGAGAAUGCCGGUAUGAGUAGCGAAAGAAGGGUGAGAAUCCCUUCCACCGAAUAUCUAAGGUUUCCUGAGGAAGGCUCGUCCGCUCAGGGUUAGUCGGGACCUAAGCCGAGGCCGAUAGGCGUAGGCGAUGGACAACAGGUAGAGAUUCCUGUACCAGUGCUAAUUGUUUAACCGAUGGGGUGACACAGAAGGAUAGGGAAUCGCACGAAUGGAAAUGUGCGUCCAAGCAGUGAGUGUGAGAAGUAGGCAAAUCCGCUUCUCGCGAAGCAUGAGCUGUGAUGGGGAAGGAAAUUAAGUACGGAAGUUCCUGAUUUCACGCUGUCAAGAAAAGCCUCUAGGAAGAGUAGUACUGCCCGUACCGCAAACCGACACAGGUAGAUGAGGAGAGAAUCCUAAGGUGAGCGAGAGAACUCUCGUUAAGGAACUCGGCAAAAUGACCCCGUAACUUCGGGAGAAGGGGUGCUCUAUUAGGGUGCAAGCCCGAGAGAGCCGCAGUGAAUAGGCCCAGGCGACUGUUUAGCAAAAACACAGGUCUCUGCAAAACCGUAAGGUGACGUAUAGGGGCUGACGCCUGCCCGGUGCUGGAAGGUUAAGAGGAGUGCUUAGCUUCGGCGAAGGUACGAAUUGAAGCCCCAGUAAACGGCGGCCGUAACUAUAACGGUCCUAAGGUAGCGAAAUUCCUUGUCGGGUAAGUUCCGACCCGCACGAAAGGCGCAACGAUCUGGGCACUGUCUCAACGAGAGACUCGGUGAAAUUAUAGUACCUGUGAAGAUGCAGGUUACCCGCGACAGGACGGAAAGACCCCGUGGAGCUUUACUGCAACCUGAUAUGGAAUGUUUGUACCGCUUGUACAGGAUAGGUAGGAGCCGAAGAGACGUGUGCGCUAGCAUACGAGGAGGCAAUGGUGGGAUACUACCCUGGCUGUAUGACCAUUCUAACCCGCCACGCUUAGCGCGUGGGGAGACAGUGUCAGGUGGGCAGUUUGACUGGGGCGGUCGCCUCCUAAAGAGUAACGGAGGCGCCCAAAGGUUCCCUCAGAAUGGAUGGAAAUCAUUCGCAGAGUGUAAAGGCACAAGGGAGCUUGACUGCGAGACUGACAAGUCGAGCAGGGACGAAAGUCGGGCUUAGUGAUCCGGUGGUUCCGCAUGGAAGGGCCAUCGCUCAACGGAUAAAAGCUACCCCGGGGAUAACAGGCUUAUCUCCCCCAAGAGUCCACAUCGACGGGGAGGUUUGGCACCUCGAUGUCGGCUCGUCGCAUCCUGGGGCUGUAGUCGGUCCCAAGGGUUGGGCUGUUCGCCCAUUAAAGCGGCACGCGAGCUGGGUUCAGAACGUCGUGAGACAGUUCGGUCCCUAUCCGUCGCGGGCGCAGGAAAUUUGAGAGGAGCUGUCCUUAGUACGAGAGGACCGGGAUGGACACACCGCUGGUGUACCAGUUGUUCCGCCAGGAGCAUCGCUGGGUAGCUAUGUGUGGCAGGGAUAAACGCUGAAAGCAUCUAAGCGUGAAGCCCCCCUCAAGAUGAGAUUUCCCAUUUCUUCGGAAAGUAAGAUCCCUGAAAGAUGAUCAGGUAGAUAGGUUUGGAGUGGAAGUGUAGCGAUACAUGGAGCGGACAAAUACUAAUCGAUCGAGGACUUAACCAA
rnacentral:rRNA from 1 species